rnacentral:lncRNA from 1 species
CAAUAAGGAAAGCUUUCACUACUGAGGUGUGAGGAAAUAUUCUGAAAUACUAUGCAGGUAAAUAAUUUCUCUAUCCUGUGGAGCAUCCUCCAUUUUUGACUUCAGUGACCCCAGCCUCAUAAGGGCAGUUACCUUUGUUUUCGAAGGUCUACAAUAUUCGUGGGAGAUGCUUGAUAGUGUAUGUUCAGGAUUGCAACAAAGGACAGAAGUGACCAUGAUGGGGUUCAUGAAGCCAACUACAGUGAAGGAGAGAAGAAAAAGGACUCUACAGUUCAGAUUGACAUGGGAAUGUGUGCCAAUGAAUCAAACUUGCCAGGAUGUCACAGCCUCCUGAAUUCUACUGCAUUCUCACAUGAGUUCUGACUCUCCAAGGGGAAGAUACACUGGCAUGUACUGCAUUUCCCAGGAUCCUCCACAUGAUUUCCAAUUCUGGAUGAUGGAGCUCUCUGUUUUGUUUACUGGGGGUAAGGGGUGGGGGGGCCUGUCAAUUAAGAUUCAGACGGAUUCUCUCUCUCUCCUCUAGUUUUAUUUUUGGUUCAUUUUGAUUUAUUACUCUUAAUUAUUCUGUAUUAUCUCACAUUCCUUUUAAUAAAUUACUUUCUCCUAUCUCA